rnacentral:rRNA from 1 species
UACGGAGGGUGCGAGCGUUGUUCGGAUUUACUGGGCGUAAAGGGCGCGUAGGCGGCCUGUCAAGUCAUAUGUGAAAGCCCACGGCUCAACCGUGGAAGUGCAUGUGAAACUGGCAGGCUUGAGUACUGGAGGGGAGUGUGGAAUUCCCGGUGUAGAGGUGAAAUUCGUAGAUAUCGGGAGGAAUACCGGUGGCGAAGGCGACACUCUGGACAGAUACUGACGCUGAGGCGCGAAAGCGUGGGGAGCAAACAGG